GUAAACAUAGUUUAACACAAAACACCAGAUUGUGAAUCUGACAAUAGAAGAUCGAAACUUCUUGUUUACC
rnacentral:tRNA from 1 species